AGAGUUUGAUCAUGGCUCAGAAUGAACGCUGGCGGCAGGCCUAACACAUGCAAGUCGAACGGGUCCUUCGGGACUAGUGGCGGACGGGUGAGUAACGCGUGGGAACAUACCCUUUGGUACGGAAUAGCCUCGGGAAACUGGGAGUAAUACCGUAUGUGGUCGAGAGACGAAAGAUUUAUCGCCAAAGGAUUGGCCCGCGUUGGAUUAGGUAGUUGGUGGGGUAAUGGCCUACCAAGCCGACGAUCCAUAGCUGGUUUGAGAGGAUGAUCAGCCACACUGGGACUGAGACACGGCCCAGACUCCUACGGGAGGCAGCAGUGGGGAAUCUUAGACAAUGGGGGAAACCCUGAUCUAGCCAUGCCGCGUGAUCGAUGAAGGCCUUAGGGUUGUAAAGAUCUUUCAGGUGGGAAGAUAAUGACUGUACCACCAGAAGAAGUCCCGGCUAACUCCGUG
rnacentral:rRNA from 1 species